UACAGAGGUCUCGAGCGUUGUUCGGAUUCAUUGGGCGUAAAGGGCGCGUAGGCGGCGGGGCAAGUCGGGUGUGAAAUCUCAGAGCUCAACUCUGAAACUGCACUCGAUACUGCUUUGCUUGAGGACUGGAGAGGAGAUUGGAAUUCACGGUGUAGCAGUGAAAUGCGUAGAUAUCGUGAGGAAGACCAGUGGCGAAGGCGGAUCUCUGGACAGUUCCUGACGCUGAGGCGCGAAGGCCAGGGGAGCAAACGGG
rnacentral:rRNA from 1 species